CCUACGGGCGGCAGCAGUGAGGAAUAUUGGUCAAUGGACGAGAGUCUGAACCAGCCAAGUCGCGUGAGGGAUGACUGCCCUAUGUGUUGUAAACUUCUUUUAUAAAGGAAUAAAACGAGGCACGUGUCCCUUUUUGCAUGUACUUUAUGAAUAAGGAUCGGCUAACUCCGUGCCAGCAGCCGCGGUAAUACGGAGGAUCCGAGCGUUAUCCGGAUUUAUUGGGUUUAAAGGGAGCGUAGAUGGGUUGUUAAGUCAGAUGUGAAAGUCUGCGGCGUAACCGUAAAAUUGCCAUUGAUACUGGCAGGCUUGAGUACAGUAGAGGUAAGCGGAAUUCGUGGUGUAGCGGUGAAAUGCUUAGAUAUCACGAAGAACACCGAUUGCGAAGGCAGCUUACUAGACUGUGACUGACAUUGAGGCUCGAAAGCGUGGGUAUCAAACAGGAUUAGAUACCCGGGUAGUC
rnacentral:rRNA from 1 species